UGGCGAACGGGUGAGUAACGCGUAAUCAACCUGCCCUUCAGAGGGGGAUAACAUUCGGAAACGGAUGCUAAAACCGCAUAGGUCCUUUAACCGCAUGGUUGAAGGAGGAAAAGAGGCGCAAGCUUCUGCUGAUGGAUGGACCCGCGGUGCAUUAGCUAGUUGGUGAGGUAACGGCUCACCAAGGCCGUGAUGCAUAGCCGACCUGAGAGGGUGAUCGGCCACAUUGGGACUGAGACACGGCCCAAACUCC
rnacentral:rRNA from 1 species